rnacentral:rRNA from 1 species
AAACAUGUUUUUUUGAUAAUAAUUUAAAGUUUAAUCUGCCCACUGAUAAUUAUUAAAGGGCUGCAGUAUUUUGACUGUACAAAGGUAGCAUAAUCAAUAGUCUUUUAAUUGAAGACUAGUAUGAAAGAUUGAAUGAAAUAUAAACUGUCUUUUUAAUAAAAUUAAAAAUUAAUUUUUUAGUCAAAAAGCUAAAAUGAAUUUAAAAGACGAGAAGACCCUAUAGAGUUUUAUAAUUAAAUUUAUUUUUUUAAAAUAUAAAUAAUUUAAAAAAAAAUAUAUUUAAUUAUUUUGUUGGGGUGAUAAAAAAAUUAAAUAAACUUUUUUUAAAAUUUAACAAAAAUAAUUGAAUAAGUGAUCCAUUAAUUAUGAUUAAAAGAAUAAAUUACCUUAGGGAUAACAGCGUAAUAUUUUUUUUUAGUACAAAUAAAAAAAAAAGUUUGCGACCUCGAUGUUGGAUUAAGAUAAAAAUUAAAUGCAAAAGUUUAAAAUUUUGAUCUG